rnacentral:rRNA from 1 species
UGGGCGGAAGCCUGAUCCAGCCAUGCCGCGUGAGUGAAGAAGGCCUUCGGGUUGUAAAGCUCUUUCAGAUGCGAAGAUGAUGACGGUAACAUCAGAAGAAGCCCCGGCUAAUUUCGUGCCAGCAGCCGCGGUAAUACGAAAGGGGCAAGCGUUGUUCGGAAUUUACUGGGCGUAAAGGGCCACGCAAGGCGGUCUUUGCCCAAGUCAAGGGGAAAACCCGGGGCUCAACCCCGGAACUGCCUCUGAUACUGCCAGGACUAGAGACUAGGAGAGGGUGGUGGAAUUCCCCAGUGUAGAGGUGAAAUUCGUAGAUAUUGGGAGGAACACCAGAGGCGAAGGCGGCCACCUGGACUAGAUCUGACGCUCAGGUGCGAAAGCGUGGGGAGCAAACCAGGAUUAGAUACCCUGGUAGUCCACGCCGUAAACGAUGAGUGCUAGUUGUCGGGAUUUCGAUUUCGGUGACGCAGCUAACGCAUUAAGCACUCCGCCUGGGGAGUACGGUCGCAAGAUUAAAACUCAAAGGAAUUGACGGGGGCCCGCACAAGCGGUGGGAGCAUUGUGGUUUAAUUCGAAACAACGCGCCAGAACCUUACCAACCCUUGACAUCCCUAUCGCCGAUUUUCCCAGAAAAUGGGAAUAUCAUUCAGUUCCGGCUUGGGAUAAGGUUGACAAGGGGCUGCCAAUGGCUUGUUCCGUCCAACCUCGUGUUCCGUGGAAAAAUGUUUGGGGUUUAAAGUUCCCCCGCAAACCGAAGCGCCAACCCCCGGUUUCCUAAAUUUGCCCAACAUUUCAAUUUGGGGGCACUUCUUAAGGGGAAAAACUUGCCCGGGUGAACCAAAACCCCGGAAGGAAAAGGCGGGGGAAUGAACCGUCCAAAGUCCUUCAUGGGCCCCUUACCGGGGUUGGGGGCUUACACCAACGUGCCUUACCAAUGGGUAACUACCAAAAGGGCAAGCCGAACUUAACGGAAUAAAUUAAGCCCAAAUUCCCAAAAAAAGUUAUCUUCAGUUCGGAAUUGCACUCUUUUGCAACUCAAAGUGCAUAAAAUUGGAAAUCCCCUUAAAAAUCCUGGAUCAGCAUGCCACGGUGAAUACGUUCCCGGGCCUUGUACACACCGCCCGUCACACCAUGGGAGUUGGUUUUACCCGAAGACGGUGGGCUAACCUUUUAGGAGGCAGCCGGCCACGGUAAGGUCAGCGACUGGGGUGAAGUCGUAACAAGGUAACCAAGGGC